CCUAGCGGUGAAGGUCAGCGGUGCCGUUGAUGGAUAUCUAGCGGAGCUUUGUUUCCGGCUGACGAAGCCUAGCGGAGAAGUUUCCCGCUGAUGAAGCUUAGCGGAGGAGGCUUUGCAUGGUGGGUCAAGAUGGUCAGCGGAGGAGAGUUCAGCGGUGGAGCAGCUCGGCGGAGCGGGGCUAGUGGUACCGCUGAUGGUUGUUGGCGGAAGGGCUUACCGGCAGAGGUUUUGCCGCUGCUGUAUUCUAGCGGUGUUUGUGGCUAGCGCGGACUUAGUGUGCAGCGGGGAGUCGGUGGAGGACCGGACUGGAUUCUGCAGCUGCCAUCACCAAGGAGCCUGGGGUCAGCGGUGUAUAGUCCGACGGAGGCUCGACACCUGGAGCUCAGCGGAGACUGGAAGUUCAGCGGAGACUCCUAAUGGCUAGCGGAGG
rnacentral:lncRNA from 1 species